GCGGAUGUAGCCAAGUGGAUCAAGGCAGUGGAUUUGUGAA
rnacentral:tRNA from 15 species